GGGUAAACCUGAGAAACCCGAAAGGUCGAAAGGGGAGAUUCAACCGCGUUUGUCGGGUGCCGGCGAGUCGUCGGCGGUAGACGGGCGGCGUUCGCGUCGCAACGCGCCGUCGGCCUCCGACCGGUCUCGAACGCGUGCACUUCUCCCCUAGUAGGACGUCGCGACCCGUUGGGUGCCGGUCCAAGGAACGCGAGUCAGCUCGCCCGGGUGCGGUCCGCCGCAAUUCCCGGGCGAACUCGCGAACUCCCGGCCGGCUCGCCCGACGGCACAAGAUUGGCGCGGGGCCGCGAUCUGAUCGCGUCCGGUACCGGCCCUCGGGCCGGGUUCUCGGACGGACUCCGUACACGCCGGUCGGCGACGCUAUAGCUUUGGGUACUUUCAGGGCCCGUCUUGAAACACGGACCAAGGAGUCUAGCAUGUGCGCGAGUCAUUGGGACUCUGCGAAUCCUAAAGGCGAAAUGAAAGUAAAGGCGAGUCUAGCGCCCGCCGAGGGAGGAUGGGUGACCGCAAAGGUCGCCUCGCACUCCCGGGGCGUCUCGUUCUUUCGCGUCUUCGGGCGCGAAGAAGAGGCGCACCCAGAGCGUACACGCUGGGACCCGAAAGAUG
rnacentral:rRNA from 1 species